rnacentral:tRNA from 1 species
GGGGUUGUGGCUCAGCGGUAGAGCACUCACCUGGCACCUGAGAGGCCCUGGGUUCCAUCCUCGGCACCACA